rnacentral:rRNA from 1 species
CCUACGGGCGGCUGCAGUGGGGAAUAUUGCACAAUGGGGGAAACCCUGAUCCAGCGACGCCGCGUGAGUGAAGAAGGAAUUCGGUAUGUAAAGCUCUAUCCGCAGGGAAGAAAAUGACGGUACAUGAGUAAGAAGCGCCGGCUAACUACGUGCCAGCAGCCGCGGUAAUACGUAGGGGGCAAGCGUUAUCCGGAUUUACUGGGUGUAAAGGGAGCGUAGACGGCAGUGCAAGUCUGGAGUGAAAGGCGGGGGCUCAACCCCCAGACUGCACUGGAAACUGUACGGCUGGAGUGCAGGAGAGGUAAGCGGAAUUCCUGGUGUAGCGGUGAAAUGCGUAGAUAUGAGGAGGAACACCAGUGGCGAAGGCGGCUUACUGGACUGUAACUGACGUUGAGGCUCGAAAGCGUGGGGAGCAAACAGGAUUAGAUACCCGGGUAGUC